GUUCCUGUAGUGCAAUGGAUAGCACGGUGGACUUCUAAUCCAUAGGUCGUGGGUUCGAGUCCCGCCUGGGAUG